AGAUAGAAGUGACUUUUUCUUGCAUCAACAAAGUGGACCUUGUUUGGCAUUCUGAUCACAUGGCUUCCUGAGCUGUCAGGGAAAGGAAGCUGAAGACACAAUGUAAUGAUCCAGGAGCACACUCCUGAUUCUUCAGGACAGCCAGUCUCCUGUUGGCUGCACCGUUUCACCAGCAGAGGGCACUCUGCACAUGAACACAGUCAUAGGAGGGAGCACUGGCAGGUUACCUGGCUCAGAACUCUCCCAGAGCAGUGAGGCCUGGUCUACCCAAAUUCUCAGAAAUGGCAAGAUCUCAGCCCUUUUGCUGACUGGAUAAUAAUCCAUGGUAUAGGUGUAUCUCUACAUAUACCACGUCUUCUGUAUCUACUCAUCGAUCAUUGGACACUUGGGGUGCUUCCCGGUCUUAGUGACUAUCAGUGACAUGGCAAUGCCCACACCUAUUUACAUCAAUGUCUCCUUUUUCUUUGCCCCAGACAAAUGUCUCUGCUCUGACACGACUGCAGUUCUCCUUCAACCUUCUACGCCCACUCCCAACAUACUGGAUCCAGCAGAGUCAACGCACUUGGAGUUUUCUAAAACCUGAGUAGUAGAAACAAAUCAAUCCCUUUUUCCUGAAAUAAACAGCCAGGAUACUGUUGGAACA